AGCAAGAAAACGAACAGAGAAACGGCUUCUUUCUCAAGUUCCCUUUUUUCUCUUUCUUGGAUAUGGAGCAACUGAAAGCAAUUAACUAUUCCAUGGAAACUUCAUCUCAUAAAGAAACUCCAGUCAAAAGCAAACCGUGGUCAUUGUUACUAUGUUCGUGGAACUUUAUCAACCAACCAAAGGUGAUAUAACUGAAGCUUAAAGAGGUUAAUCAACAUUCAAAGGUCACACAGCUCCUACCUGACUGUAUAAGGAGUUCCAGAGCCCAUUCUCUCAAUCAGUUUUCCACUUUGCCUCUCAGGUGAACUAGAUGUCAAAAAGACUGGAGGUUAAGCAAC
ensembl:lncRNA